rnacentral:rRNA from 1 species
AGGAUGAACGCUGGCGGCGUGCUUAACACAUGCAAGUCGAACGAUGAAAGCCGGAGCUUGCUCUGGCUGGAUUAGUGGCGAACGGGUGAGUAACACGUGAGUAACCUGCCCUUGACUCUGGGAUAAGCACUGGAAACGGUGUCUAAUACCGGAUACGAGCUUCAGCCGCAUGGCUAGGAGCUGGAAAGAAUUUCGGUCAAGGAUGGACUCGCGGCCUAUCAGGUAGUUGGUGAGGCAAAGGCUCACCAAGCCGACGACGGGUAGCCGGCCUGAGAGGGUGACCGGCCACACUGGGACUGAGACACGGCCCAGACU